rnacentral:rRNA from 1 species
UUGAACGCUGGCGGCAUGCUUUACACAUGCAAGUCGAACGGCAGCGCGGGCUUCGGCCUGGCGGCGAGUGGCGAACGGGUGAGUAAUGCAUCGGAACGUGCCCAGUAGUGGGGGAUAGCCCGGCGAAAGCCGGAUUAAUACCGCAUACGACCUGAGGGUGAAAGCGGGGGACCGAAAGGCCUCGCGCUAUUGGAGCGGCCGAUGUCGGAUUAGCUAGUUGGUGGGGUAAAGGCUUACCAAGGCGACGAUCCGUAGCUGGUCUGAGAAGACGACCAGCCACACUGGGACUGAGACACGGCCCAGACUCCUACGGGAGGCAGCAGUGGGGAAUUUUGGACAAUGGGGGCAACCCUGAUCCAGCCAUGCCGCGUGCGGGAAGAAGGCCUUCGGGUUGUAAACCGCUUUUGUUCGGGAAGAAAUCCUCUGGGCUAAUACCCCGGGGGGAUGACGGUACCGGAAGAAUAAGCACCGGCUAACUACGUG